rnacentral:rRNA from 1 species
UACGUAGGGUGCAAGCGUUGUCCGGAAUUAUUGGGCGUAAAGAGCUCGUAGGCGGUUUGUUGCGUCGGCUGUGAAAUCCCGAGGCUCAACCUCGGGUCUGCAGUCGAUACGAGCAAACUAGAGUGUUGCAGGGGAGACUGGGAAUUCCUGGUGUAGCGGUGAAAUGCGCAGAUAUCAGGAGGAACACCGGGUGGCGAAGGCGGGUCUCUGGGCAACAACUGACGCUGGAGGAGCGAAAGCGUGGGGAGCGAACAGGA